CUUAAUGCUUUGGCUGAUCACAGUUACUUCAAAGAGAGAUCCAAUGAUGAUGAUGUUGCAGAUAAUGUUACUAUUGUAAGACCAGACAACCUUCCCUUAAGUGACCACAUUUAUUGUAAAGGGACAUCUGAAGAGCAAAAAAAUGAUAAAACAGACAUGUUUCCUAAGGCAGGUCCCAGUUAUGAUGUACAACCUUCUUGCUCCUAUUCUCAAGAUGUAUCAUCUGUUAUAAAUCCUCAGAAAGAAAGUACAUCUGAUCCAUCUUCAAUGAAAAUGGAAAGCAGUAAGAAAGUCAAGAAGUGUUUUAAUCAGAACAGUAUGUGGUACUUUUCAUAAAAUGUAUUGUAAUAUCUUUAAUAUCAAGACUAGAGAUAUGUAUUUUUAAACCAACAAUUUUAUUUUUAGAGUCUAAAAUUAUUAAAAAGUUUUCAUCAAAGAAGAAACAAUUCAUAAAGGAUGUCACAAAUAUUGCUAGCAAAAGCAUAGGUGACACAGCAAUCCAAAGAAUUGAAAAGGCUGUUCUGAAUGGAAAGAAUGAUGCAUUGCUGAAGAAUUUAUUGCUUAAACAAACAAGCACAGACAUUUUUACUAAUGCAGUUAAAACAAUGUAGAAAAAACAAAAUGGGGCGUCGAUUCACAUUGGAUGAAAAGUUAAUUGCAUUAGCAUUGAUGAAGCAAAGUCCAAAGUCAUAUAGAUUAUUAGAAAAUAUGUUUGCAUUACCUAAUAAGAGAACUUUGCAUAGACUUGCAGAAAAUAUCAAUAUACAACCUGGCCUGAAUCCAAAAAUUUUUGAAUUUAUUAAACAAAACGAAAAAUUGGGAUACCCAACAAAAACUUUGCACGAUUGUUUUUGAUGAAAUAUCAUUAACACCUCAUCUGACCUACAAUGAGAAAAAUGAUCAGAUUUAUGGUUUUGUGGAUGUAGCAGGCGAAAGAAAAUUGAAGUUUUGCGAUCAUGCAUUGGUGUUCAUGGUCAGAGGGAUUUGUUCUUCUUGGCGACAAAGUGUAGCUUUUUAUUUCUGUGAAGGCACUGUUUCGUCAGCUGCUCUACAGUGUAUUUUAAAAAAGCUUAUUACUAAUAUAGCCGAGGCUGGGUUGAUUCCUUUGGGACUUGUAUGCAACCAAGGAUCAACAUUUCGAACUGCGAUAAAAUCUUUGAGGGCGGAAACUGUAAAA